rnacentral:rRNA from 1 species
GAAUUUUCCGCAAUGGGCGAAAGCCUGACGGAGCAAUACCGCGUGAGGGAAGACGGCCUAUGGGUUGUAAACCUCUUUUCUCAGGGAGGAACUCAAUGACGUGUACCUGAAGAAUAAGCAUCGGCUAACUCCGUGCCAGCAGCCGCGGUAAGACGGAGGAUGCAAGUGUUAUCCGGAAUCACUGGGCGUAAAGCGUCUGUAGGUGGUUUAGUAAGUCAACUGUUAAAUCUUGAGGCUCAACUUCAAAAUCGCAGUCGAAACUAUUAGACUAGAGUAUAGUAGAGGUAAAGGGAAUUUCCAGUGGAGCGGUGAAAUGCGUAGAUAUUGGAAAGAACACCAGUGGCGAAGGCGCUCUGCUGGGCCAUAACUGACGCUCAUGGACGAAAGCCAGGGGAGCGAAAGGGAUUAGAUACCCCUGUAGUC